GUACACGCUGUGACUAGCAUAUCAAUAAGCGGAGGAAAAGAGGGCUAUUACCUACGCUUAGGAUGUUGACGAGACUGUCGAUCUCAUCUAUACAUGACUCUGUGCAUAUCAAUAAGCGGAGGAAAAGAAACUAACAAGGAUUCCCCUAGUAACGGCGAGUGAAGCGGGAAGAGCUCAAAUUUGAAAUCUUAAAGGGUUUCCCUUUACGAAUUGUAGUUUAAAGAAGUGUUUUCUGUUGAGGUUUUGGUAAAAGUUCUUUGGAAUAGGACAUCAUAGAGGGUGAGAAUCCCGUAUUUGACCUUUACUUUCAACUUUGUGAUACACUUUCAAAGAGUCGGAUUGUUUGGGAAUGCAGUCCAAAAUGGGUGGUAAAUUUCAUCUAAAGCUAAAUAUUGGCGAGAGACCGAUAGCGAACAAGUACCGUGAGGGAAAGAUGAAAAGAACUUUGAGAAGAGAGUUAAACAGUACGUGAAAUUGUCAAAAGGGAAGCGUUUGACACCAGUGUUGUUUUUCUGAAAAUCAAUUAAAGAACUGUUUAUGCUAAGCUGUUUAGACUUUAUCAGCUAUCUGUUUAGUUUUGAGCUUUUUCUUUAAUGCACUUUUCAGUUAACAAGUCAACAUCAAUUUCUUUUGCUGUAAAAAAGCUUGAGGAAGGUGGCUUGAGAUUCGUCUUAAGUGUUUAUAGCCUCUUGCCUAUGCAGUCGGAGAGAUUGAGGUCUGCAGCGUAGAUCCUUCGGGGCUAAAUGCAUUUGUGCUAAGUUAUAGCAUUUUAUAGACAACUUGUUGACUAUGAUUUGUCUUGUAGCUUACUCGCUUAUGUUAUUUUACCUACGCUUAGGAUGUUGACGAGACUGUCGAUCUC
rnacentral:rRNA from 1 species